rnacentral:piRNA from 1 species
GUUCUCUGCAGUCUCAGCAAAAGGC